UACAGAGGUCUCAAGCGUUGUUCGGAUUCAUUGGGCGUAAAGGGUGCGUAGGUGGCGCCGUAAGUCAGGUGUGAAAUUUCGGAGCUUAACUCCGAAACUGCAUUUGAUACUGCGGUGCUUGAGGACUGGAGAGGAGACUGGAAUUCACGGUGUAGCAGUGAAAUGCGUAGAUAUCGAUGAGGAAGACCAGUGGCGAAGGCGGGUCUCGUGGACGAGU
rnacentral:rRNA from 1 species